rnacentral:lncRNA from 1 species
UGUGUGAGUGUGUGUGUGUCUUUUCAAUAUCAUCUUUAAAAUUUAUUUGUUUGAAGAGUUGUGUCUUUUUAAUUAGCUUUAAAAUAGUUAAAAUGUUCCAAAAAGUGAUUUCCUAAAAAUUUAAGAACUGUGUCUAUUUAUUUGGUUGUAAUAUUUCAUCUUAAAAGUUGUAUUAAGAAAUUGACAAAUUAUAUAUGCCUCUUUUCAACAUAUCUCUAAAAUGUAUUAGGUUUAACACUUAUGCCUUUUAAAUUAGUUUUAAAAUGAGUUAAAAUAUCUCAUCUUUCUAAACAUUUAAGAGCUGUGUCUUCUUAUUAUUAAAAGCAAAUUAUUUUUAACGAAGUUGCUA